rnacentral:rRNA from 1 species
AACGAACGCUGGCGGCAGGCCUAACACAUGCAAGUCGAACGUGAAGCCACCUUCGGGUGGUGGAAAGUGGCAGACGGGUGAGUAACGCGUGGGAACGUGCCUUUCGGUUCGGAAUAACCCAGGGAAACUUGGGCUAAUACCGGAUACGCCCUUCGGGGGAAAGAUUCAUCGCCGAAAGAUCGGCCCGCGUCGGAUUAGCUAGUUGGUAGGGUAAUGGCCUACCAAGGCGACGAUCCGUAGCUGGUCUGAGAGGAUGACCAGCCACACUGGGACUGAGACACGGCCCAGACUCCUACGGGAGGCAGCAGUGGGGAAUAUUGGACAAUGGGCGAAAGCCUGAUCCAGCCAUGCCGCGUGGGUGAAGAAGGCCUUAGGGUUGUAAACCCCUUUCAGCGGGGAAGAUAAUGACGGUACCCGCAGAAGAAGCCCCGGCUAACUCCGUGC